UACGUAGGGUGCAAGCGUUAUCCGGAAUUAUUGGGCGUAAAGAGCUCGUAGGCGGUUUGUCGCGUCUGCUGUGAAAACUGGAGGCUCAACCUCCAGCCUGCAGUGGGUACGGGCAAACUAGAGUGCGGUAGGGGAGAUUGGAAUUCCUGGUGUAGCGGUGGAAUGCGCAGAUAUCAGGAGGAACACCGAUGGCGAAGGCGGGUCUCUGGGCCGAUACUGACGCUGAGGAGCGAAAGCGUGGGGAGCGAACAGG
rnacentral:rRNA from 1 species